UACGAAGGGGGCUAGCGUUGCUCGGAAUCACUGGGCGUAAAGGUUGCGUAGGCGGGUCUUUAAGUCAGGGGUGAAAUCCUGGAGCUCAACUCCAGAACUGCCUUUGAUACUGAAGAUCUUGAGUUCGGGAGAGGUGAGUGGAACUGCGAGUGUAGAGGUGAAAUUCGUAGAUAUUCGCAAGAACACCAGUGGCGAAGGCGGCUCACUGGCCCGAUACUGACGCUGAGGCACGGAAAGCGAUGGGGAGCAAACAGG
rnacentral:rRNA from 1 species